rnacentral:miRNA from 1 species
GGAGAAUUGCAUGAGCCUGGGAGAUGGAGGUUGCAGUGAGCUGAGAUCACACCACUGCACUCCAGCCUGGGCAAAAGAGUGAGACCCUGUCUC